GGUUGGUCCAAGUGCAGUGGUGUUUACAACUAAAUUAUCACAACCAAUUACAGAUUCCUUUGUUCCUUGUCCACUCCCACUGCUUAACCCGACCAGCCUAAA
ensembl:misc_RNA Y_RNA Y RNA